UCCGGCGUCGCCUAACGGCAAGGCCCCUGGCUGUUACCCAGGUGAUCCGGGUUCGAGUCCCUGCGCCGGAG
rnacentral:tRNA from 1 species